rnacentral:rRNA from 1 species
UACAGAGGUCCCAAGCGUUGUUCGGAUUCACUGGGCGUAAAGGGUGCGUAGGCGGUCGGGUAAGUCUGAUGUGAAAUCUCACAGCUUAACUGUGAAACUGCAUUGGAUACUAUUCGGCUUGAGAGUUGGAGGGGGGACUGGAAUUCUUGGUGUAGCAGCGAAAUGCGUAGAUAUCAAGAGGAACACCAGUGGCGAAGGCGAGUCCCUGGACAACUUCUGACGCUGAGGCACGAAAGCUAGGGGAGCAAACAGG